rnacentral:rRNA from 1 species
AACGAACGCUGGCGGCAGGCCUAACACAUACAAGUCGAACGCCCUAGCAAUAGGGAGUGGCAGACGGGUGAGUAACGCGUGGGAACGUGCCUUUCGGUUCGGAAUAACUCAGGGAAACUUGAGCUAAUACCGGAUACGCCCUUCGGGGGAAAGAUUUAUUGCCGAAAGAUCGGCCCGCGUCCGAUUAGCUAGUUGGUGAGGUAAAGGCUCACCAAGGCGACGAUCGGUAGCUGGUCUGAGAGGAUGAUCAGCCACACUGGGACUGAGACACGGCCCAGACUCCUACGGGAGGCAGCAGUGGGGAAUAUUGGACAAUGGGCGCAAGCCUGAUCCAGCCAUGCCGCGUGUGUGAUGAAGGCCUUAGGGUUGUAAAGCUCUUUCGCCAGGGACGAUAAUGACGGUACCUGGAUAAGAAGCCCCGGCUAACUUCGUGCCAGCCGCCGCGGUAA